rnacentral:rRNA from 1 species
AGUGAACGCUGGCGGUAGGCCUAACACAUGCAAGUCGAACGGCAGCACAGUAAGAGCUUGCUCUUACGGGUGGCGAGUGGCGGACGGGUGAGGAAUACAUCGGAAUCUACUUUUUCGUGGGGGAUAACGUAGGGAAACUUACGCUAAUACCGCAUGCGACCUACGGGGGAAAGCAGGGGAUCUUCGGACCUUGCGCGAUUGAAUGAGCCGAUGUCGGAUUAGCUAGUUGGCGGGGUAAAGGCCCACCAAGGCGACGAUCCGUAGCUGGUCUGAGAGGAUGAUCAGCCACACUGGAACUGAGACACGGUCCAGACUCCUACGGGAGGCAGCAGUGGGGAAUAUUGGACAAAGGGCGCAAGCCUGAUCCAGCCAUACCGCGUGGGUGAAGAAGGCCUUCGGGUUGUAAAGCCCUUUUGUUGGGAAAGAAAAGCAGCAGGUUAAUACCCCGCUGUUCUGACGGUACCCAAAGAAUAAGCACCGGCUAACUUCGUG